UGGUGGAACUGAGAGGUUUCAUACUGCGGUGCAGGAAUCAGCAGAAGGCAUAGUAGGUGGAUAGGGCGAUUCGCCGAAGGCC
rfam:Nitrosococcus halophilus Nc4, complete genome.